UUCACAUUAUCGAAAAGAAAUAAAGAGCCGAAUUUUGGCUGCAAUUGGAUAAAUUUUUUUUUUUCAUUAUACAUGAUUACACAAUGAUACAAUUCUUCUUCCCCCUUUCAAUUUAGGAUGGGAAAAUAAUCGGUGCAUAAACUUUCUCACUAUUUCCUCCAUUUGAACGAAGUAAAGAAUUAAUAAACAUAAAUCAAACAAUAUCAGAAUUUGAAGCAGCUAACUGGCAAACCUGUUUGAUGAUCAACAGUCACAAUCUCAGUCAUAUUAUCACAUCUCAGCACAUCUUGGCCUAAUUUAGCCCCAGCUGCUUUCAAUCCUCUCAGAGAAACCGGCUGAUUAAACAGAUUAAGCGAUGGCAAUUUUGAAGCUGAAGCAUUUUUCCAUUACGUAACAGUCUCUGAAGUCUUGUUUUAAUAAUGGAACCUCAAAAUCAGUCUUGUCAUGCCUCACACAUUGUCUUUAGCACUGAUAUGAN
rnacentral:lncRNA from 1 species